GUAGUCCCACGCCCUAAACGAUCUGAACUAGCUUUUUGGAGUAUCGACCCUCUGAGAUGCGAAGCUAACGCGUUAAGUUCAGCCGCCUGGGUAGUACGAGCGCAAGCUUAAAACUCAAAGGAAUAGACGGGGACUCCGCACAAGCGGUGGAUCCAUGUGGCUUAAUUCGAUACUAAGCGAAGAACCUUACCUGGGCUAGAAACCUAUUUGACAAUCCCUGGGAAACCAGGACUUUCUUCGGACAGAUAGGCAGGUGAUGCAUGGCCGUCGUCAGUUCGUGGCUUGAGCUGUUCCCUUAAGUGGGGAAACGAACGCAACCCUCAUCGUGUGUUACAAGUGUCACACGAGACUGCUCUCUCCACGAGAGAGGAAGGUGGGGAUGACGCCAGGUCAGCCAUGUCCCUUGAUGGCCCAGGGCUGCACACGUGAU
rnacentral:rRNA from 1 species